ACGGGGUGCAGCAGGCGCGAAAACUUCACACUGGGGGAAACCCCGAUGAGGGAAAUCCUAGUGCUAGGACAUUUGUUCUAGCUUUUCUCAAGCGUAGAUAACUUGAGGAAUAAGGGCUGGGUAAGACGGGUGCCAGCCGCCGCGGUAAUACCUGCAGCCCAAGUGGUGGUCGAUUUUAUUGAGUCUAAAACGUUCGUAGCCGGUUCGGUAAAUCUUUGGGUAAAUCGGGAAGCUCAACUUUCCGACUUCCGAAGAGACUGCCGAACUUGGGACCGGGAGAGGCUAGAGGUACUUCUGGGGUAGGGGUAAAAUCCUGUAAUCCUAGAAGGACCACCGGUGGCGAAGGCGUCUAGCUAGAACGGAUCCGACGGUGAGGGACGAAGCCCUGGGUCGCAAACGGGAUUAGAUACUCCGGUAGUCCAGGGUGUAAACGCUGCAAACUUGGUGUUUGGGGGCCCCUACGGGGGCGUUCAGCUGCCCGGAGAGAAAGUUGUUAAGUCUGCUAACUUGGGGAGUUACGUCCGCAAGGGAUUGAAACUUAAAGGAAUUGGCGGGGGAGCAC
rnacentral:rRNA from 1 species